rnacentral:misc_RNA from 1 species
GAAAUGCGAUAAUUAAUGUGAAUUGCAGAAUUCAGUGAAUCAUCGAGUCUUUGAACGCACAUUGCGCCCCCUGGUAUUCCGGGGGGCAUGCCUGUCCGAGCGUCAUUGCUGCCCUCAAGCACGGCUUGUGUGUUGGGCUUCCGUCCCUGGCAACGGGGACGGGCCCAAAAGGCAGUGGCGGCACCAUGUCUGGUCCUCGAGCGUAUGGCGCUUUGUCACCCGCUCCCGUAGGUCCAGCUGGCAGCUAGCCUCGCAACCAAUCUUUUUAACCAGGUUGACCUCGGAUCAGGUAGGGAUACCCGCUGAACUUAAGC